rnacentral:snRNA from 1 species
GGCUUUGCGCAGUGGCAGUAUCGUAGCCAAUGAGGUUUAUCCGAGGCGCGAUUAUUGCUAAUUGAGUUAGUGUUUUCAUUUUCUUUGGGUAGUAGUGGAAUUACUGGAUUAUGCAGUGU